UGCUGGAUGGUCUAACCGGUAGGACACCUGACUCUGAAUCAGGACGGUGCAGGUUCGAAUCCUGCUCCAGCAG
rnacentral:tRNA from 1 species